rnacentral:rRNA from 1 species
AUGAAUCUCCUUGCCUGGAACUGUCGAGGACUGGGGUUGGACUCGACAGUGGGCGAACUGCGGGACCUUAUUAGGUCUCACAACCCAGUGGUGGUGUUCCUUUCAGAAACAAAAUCAGCUAAAGCAAUGGAAAGGUUGAAAUGGAGUUUGGGAUUCACUAGUGGAGUUGCGGUCAGUUGCAAUGGGAGAAGUGGGGGUUUGGCUUUGUGGUGGAGGGAGAAUGUUAAAGUUAUAAUGAGGCCGUGGUGCCAAUACUUUAUAGAUGCUGAGAUCGAGUGGGAGUGUAAACUCUAUAGGAUCACUGGAUUCUAUGGAGAACCCAAAACCGAGUUGAGGAAGAAAUCAUGGGAUGCUAUCCGCUUUCUUCGGGCUCAAGAUAAUCUUCCGUGGCUAUGUGUCAGCGACUUUAACGAGGCCCUCUUCCGUACUGAUCAGGUGGGGGGUAACCCAAGGUGCUUCAAUCAAAUGGAGGAUUUUUGA